rnacentral:rRNA from 1 species
CCUACGGGAGGCUGCAGUGAGGAAUAUUGGUCAAUGGUCGGGAGACUGAACCAGCCAAGCCGCGUGAGGGAGGAAGGUACAGAGUAUCGUAAACCUCUUUUGUCAGGGCACAAAGGCUGGGACGUGUCCCCGGAUGAGUGUACCUGAAGAAAAAGCAUCGGCUAACUCCGUGCCAGAAGCCGCGGUAAUACGAGGGAUGCGAGCGUUAUCCGGAUUUAUUGGGUGUAAGGGGUGCGCAGGCGGUCUGUUAAGUCAGCGGUCAAAGCCCGGGGCUCAACCCCGGCCCGCCGUUGAAACUGGCAGGCUCGAGUUGGAGAGAAGUAGGCGGAAUGCGCGGUGUAGCGGUGAAAUGCAUAGAUAUCGCGCAGAACUCCGAUUGCGAAGGCAGCAUGCCGGCUCCACACUGACGCUGAGGCACGAAAGCGUGGGUAUCGAACAGGAUUAGAUACCCGAGUAGUC